rnacentral:lncRNA from 1 species
CUCUGUUAUUAUGCUUUGGACGUAUUUGGCUGCUGCUCUUUCUCUCGCUCUUUGGUCUGCAGUUUUCAUGUGGAUCUUGUCUUGAUUCCUUUUCUUCUUAUAUUCUUUUUGUAAAAUGUAGUCUAUUUGUUUUGCCAACCUGUUUUGCUAUAUUCAAAAAAUAUAAAGAGGGAAGUAGGUGAUAAAAUAACAUAUCAAUACUCAAUUCAAUUUGGAGUCUUGUAAGUUAUGUAUUCAAAAGUGAUAGCAUUAGUUAUUCCUUUUUCUUUUCUUUCUUGAAAAUCAAUACUUUUCUUAUAUUUUAUAUUUUAUAUGUCUGAAUACAUAAUAUAAUAUAUAAUUGUUAUGAUCAAAUCAAUUAUAGUUCAAUUCAUAUAUGAGUGAGUAACUACCAUGUAUAUAUUUCAAAUGUUAGACGCACUUAAAAAAACCGAUGUGAUGUUGCUCAACUUCAAGAAUUUGUAGACAUGCUGUAAAUUACCUUUACAACAACUCGAGCUCGAGGGAGAACGUAGCCACAUACAAAAAAUGUAAAGUCAUACUAUUGAACCAUGCAUGGAAACGAUGGUGUAAUUUAGAUAUAUUAUAAUAAAUUGAUCACAACCAUACAUAUUUUUGUUUACUUGGAGGAGGGGAGGGGAGGUUUUAUUUUUUAUUCUUGUUUUUAAGAAAAAGAUAGAUGAGACCAAAUAAAAUGCUUUUGUUUAGUGGUUAGAAAGACUCUAUCUUCAAGGGGUCGUUUGAGGUAUGCUACUUAGAGGUUGGUAGAAUAGACUACACCAUGUUUAGGAUACCAACCAAUAAUAAUAGUAUUUACCGUUACCUAUAACAUAGAAUUAAGAGCAAUAGUUAUUUUUUCAAAUUUUUUUAUCGUAUUUACUGUUUUGUCACAAUAUUUACUUCUUAUCAAAUAAAAAUAGUUUGUGUAUCACUCGUAAUACAAAAUAUAAUAACUAAUAUAGUAUUGUAAGUGCUUGCCUAAGUAUUCUUUAACAAUAUAAUGUAUUUAAAUGUUGUAUUAUAAAAAUAAUGGUUAAAAGUGAUUAUUUAUAGUUUAAUUAACGAUAAAUUUAAAAUACAUUUUUAAGUGUUUAAUUUAUAAACUAAGUUAUUUUAAAAAGAUGGAGGUCAUUUAAAAUAGAUUUUUAGAAAAAAUAAAUUAAAGAAAAAUGAGUUUCUUAAUUUUUUUUCUUUUGAUUCAAUUGAAACGAACUCUAAGUGUUAGUCACAAUUUCGUUCAUGAACUUGAAUUUUUCUAAAACUUUUUAUCAUUUCUAUGUUCAUCGAUAUUUACAUAAAAUUGCAAGUUUGGAGUCCAAAUUAUUCUAUCUUAAAUGGAACGACAUGUCGUCCGCGCUAGCGGCGUCCUGGUACCGGGAAAGUUCUUAAUUACGAUUUACGGCAGUAUGCUCUAAAUACGACACUCGGCACGGCCAUUUUUUCAUUCACUGCGGCGGAGCACAGUCGUCUCGAAAAGAGGUUGGCAUCAGACUGAAUACGGGCCCAUUGGCAUAUGAGCCUGCACCGCCACAUCGGGAAGAAGAGUUUGGCUGUGGAUGCUGUGCUAACAUGUGAGCAUAGCUUUUGGGAUUUUGACAAAAUUAGAGUAAAAUUGUAGUUACAGAAGUCUUGUACGUAGACUUUUUUGUAGGUUUGUUUCGUUAAGAACUCAUUGUUUUUCAUGAAUCUUACUAAACUGCACAAGCAAGAGAGCAAAGCGAAUAUAGUCUUCAUUGGCAUUUUGGUAACUUUCAACUUUGCGGAAAUGCGUAGUUGUAUGGCCAUUGUCGCUUUCGCAUGUGCUUUGUUUCUAAAAACUUGUUGAAAGGGAGCUGACUCUAAAUUAUUUAUAAAUUUAUCAAAAGGAGUGUUGUAAAUCGAAUACGAGGACCUCUGAAAUUGUGGAAUGAAUUUAUGUUGAAAAAAGUAUUGAAAUGGUUGGCUAGUUUGUUGUAUUCGCGCCUUACUUUAUCUCCGAGCCAAACUUCAAUCUUCACAUGCUUCCAAGUUCAUGAUUUGCCUUUUUGAGGGAAUGGGAAGGCUGCUAUUGUCUCGAGCGAGUUAUACGAAAGUUAGGAAUUCAAGUUUCUAUAGCCAAAUUUUGCAUAAUUUGUCCACUUCCUCUAUCCGUUGAAACUACUUUCUGAAAAAGCAGUACAACUAAUGUAUUCAAUUUUGGUAAAAAUAAUUAACUUUUUAUCUUUCUAUUUAUUUGCUAAUUCUCCUCCUAUUCUUCGUCUUAUUUAUCUUUUGAUGUUUUUCCUUACCGAUGCACUUUAAUGCUAGAUGGGGACUAUCAAGCCCCUGCCGAAGUCAGUUCGUAAUUCUGUGCGUGCUGGUGUUAUUCUCUAUGAUGUCACGAAGGUCGUGGAAGAGCUUGUUUAUAAUAGUUUGGAUGCUGGUGCAUCGAAGGUAUCGAGUCUAAUCGUCCUUUGUAUGAUUUUGUGCUAUGUUGAGUCGUGGGGUUGCUUACUUGCCCAAGUUGGAAAUGUGUUAAGUUUUAUGACUAAUUAUCUUCCGGUAAGUUAAUCUGAUCAAGAGUGUGCAGAAUAUUAAACUUAGAUAUAAAUCAAUCUCGCUCCUAAAACAGUUACAAGUAGUGCAUUAUGAAUUAGAGGCUACCAUGUAAUCAUAGCUUAUUUCUUAGUCAUCCAUCACCGAGUACCGUUCUUCUCUUCUACAAGAGAAAAAUGACUCCUUUAUGGUUGAUUGAUUCUCUUUACAAAGAGGAUAAAUUGAGAAUCGAUCUAGUUACUGAACUCAGUCUAUGUUUUAGUGUUUUUGUAUUUCUUUGUUGUUCUUGUUUGGUGGAAUCCUAAUAUUGUCAUAUUAAGCGAAUUAAAGAAUGAUGAUUAGGCAUGAGCACCAAAUAGUAGGCUAGGCAGAUACAAUAACAGCGACCAAAUCUGGUAUAAUAUAUCGUGUUUUUGCUGGUUCGCCUUAUUCAAUGUUUUAGCUUGUUUACCUGGAUUUUAUCUUGCUACUUUGUUUCUUUGAGUCAUGUUGUGCGAAAUCAUUAUUUGGCAGUUAUAUUGACUUAUAGAACAACAUCAAAAAGCACCAUUUCUCAUUGUGUAAAACGAAGCACCUUUUCUCUCACGUUAGCAUAUCCUUUUUAGUUAGUAAUUGAUGCAC